rnacentral:rRNA from 1 species
GUCGAGCGAGAACCAGGCUUUCGGGCCUGGGGACAGCGGCGAACGGGUGAGUAACACGUGGGUAAUCAACCCUCGAUACUGGGAUAGCCCGGGGAAACCCGGAUUAAUACCGGAUGGCCCUUUGGAUCCUCGGAUCUGAAGGAAAAGGUAGCUUCGGCCUCCGAUCGAGGACGAGCCCGCGGCGGAUUAGCUUGUUGGUGAGGUAACGGCCCACCAAGGCGACGAUCCGUAGCUGGUCUGAGAGGACGAUCAGCCACACUGGGACUGAGACACGGCCCAGACUCCUACGGGAGGCAGCAGUGGGGAAUCUUGCGCUAAUGCGGGAAACCGUGACGCAGCGACGCCGCGUGAGGGAAGAAGGCCUUCGGGUUGUAAACCUCUUUCAGGAGGGACGAAGCCACUCGGGUUAAUAGCCCAGAGGGUGACGGUACCUCCAGAAGAAGCCCCGGCUAACUACGUGCCAGCAGCCGCGGUAAUACGUAGGGGGCAAGCGUUGUCCGGAUUUAUUGGGCGUAAAGAGCGUGUAGACGGCUAGAUAGGUCCGUUGUGAAAACUCGAGGCUCAACCUCGAGACGUCGAUGGAAACCAUCUGGCUAGAGUCCGGAAGAGGAGAGUGGAAUUCCUGGUGUAGCGGUGAAAUGCGCAGAUAUCAGGAAGAACACCCGUGGCGAAGGCGGCUCUCUGGUACGUGACUGACGCUGA